rnacentral:rRNA from 1 species
CCUACGGGGGGCUGCAGUGGGGAAUAUUGGACAAUGGGCGAAAGCCUGAUCCAGCCAUGCCGCGUGUGUGAAGAAGGCCUUCGGGUUGUAAAGCACUUUCAGUGGGGAAGAAAGCCUUGGGGCUAAUACCCUCGAGGAAGGACAUCACCCACAGAAGAAGCACCGGCUAACUCCGUGCCAGCAGCCGCGGUAAUACGGAGGGUGCGAGCGUUAAUCGGAAUUACUGGGCGUAAAGCGCGCGUAGGCGGUCUGAUAAGCCGGUUGUGAAAGCCCCGGGCUCAACCUGGGAACGGCAUCCGGAACUGUCAGGCUAGAGUGCAGGAGAGGAAGGUAGAAUUCCCGGUGUAGCGGUGAAAUGCGUAGAGAUCGGGAGGAAUACCAGUGGCGAAGGCGGCCUUCUGGACUGACACUGACGCUGAGGUGCGAAAGCGUGGGUAGCAAACAGGAUUAGAUACCCCGGUCGUC